rnacentral:tRNA from 1 species
UCCCUUGUGGCUCAGUUGGUAGAGCAUGGUGUUUGCAACGCCAGGGUUGUGGGUUCGAUUCCCACAGGGGAC